GGGCACAAGGCGAUCUGCUUGAAGAAGGCGUCGAAUAGACUUGCCACAGAUAAAACAAGGAUUUUUCAUUUCAACAGAAGGCUCAAGAAUGAAGAAAAGCUGACGCUGAUAUAUACCCGGAGCCUGAGGACUUAGCACGGGGCAGAACUACAUUAGACUCUAAGUUAAUGGUGUCAGAUUUCUAAAAGAUAUUCACAGAAAAGGAAAGAAAGGAGAUGUCCAGAUAAUGAUGACA
rnacentral:lncRNA from 1 species